AAAGUCGUAACAAGGUUUCCGUAGGUGAACCUGCGGAAGGAUCAUUCACAAUAUAUGACAAUACAAUUAACGUUGUAUUGUUAUUCAUUAUUCACCAAAAUCAUAAACAAACCGCGCUAUGUACAACCCUUUUUAUUUUAAACAACCCAAUGCCAAUUUCGGUUGGCGAAGUGUACCUCAUCUUUCUUAUGUAAAAGGUAAGAAUUACAAUGUGAUAGUUAAGUCCUAAGUAUGGUGGAUUCCAUACCGGCAUGUGUAGAAAUACGUAAUAUAAUACAACUCUUUGCAAUGGAUAUCUUGGUUCUC
rnacentral:misc_RNA from 1 species